CUGUGAUGAAAUUUGAAACUGAAAACAGCUGGAAUUACCGGCAGAUUGUACAGUGGUGAUCAUCGGUUUUCUGAGC